rnacentral:rRNA from 1 species
AUUGAACGCUGGCGGCAGGCCUAACACAUGCAAGUCGAACGAGUGGCGGACGGGUGAGUAAUGUCUGGGAAACUGCCUGAUGGAGGGGGAUAACUACUGGACACGGUAGCUAAUACCGCAUACCAUCGGAUGUGCCCAGAUGGGAGUAGCUAGGAGGUGGGGUAAAGGCGCACCUAGGCGACGAUCCCUAGCUGGUCUGAGAGGAUGAACAGCCACACUGGAACUGAGACACGGUCCAGACUCCUACGGGAGGCAGCAGUGGGGAAUAUUGCACAAUGGGCGCAAGCCUGAUGCAGCCAUGCCGCGUGUAUGAAGAAGGCCUUCGGGUUGUAAAGUACUUUCAGCGGGGAGGCGUUACUCGCAGAAGAAGCACCGGCUAACUCCGUGCCAGCAGCCGCGGUAAUUC